UGCCCAGCAACUCCUAUCCCUACCUCCUCGCGGUACUGGCCGGGGUACGAGUAACCUCAGGGAAGA
rfam:Aedes aegypti strain Liverpool supercont1.320 genomic scaffold, whole genome shotgun sequence.